GAGUUUGAUCCUGGCUCAGGAUGAACGCUAGCGGGAGGCCUAACACAUGCAAGCCGAGCGGUAUUGUUUCUUCGGAAAUGAGAGAGCGGCGUACGGGUGCGGAACACGUGUGCAACCUGCCUUUAUCUGGGGGAUAGCCUUUCGAAAGGAAGAUUAAUACUCCAUAAUAUAUUGAACGGCAUCGUUUAAUAUUGAAAGCUCCGGCGGAUAGAGAUGGGCACGCGCAAGAUUAGCUAGUUGGUGAGGUAACGGCUCACCAAGGCGAUGAUCUUUAGGGGGCCUGAGAGGGUGAUCCCCCACACUGGUACUGAGACACGGACCAGACUCCUACGGGAGGCAGCAGUGAGGAAUAUUGGUCAAUGGGUGCAAGCCUGAACCAGCCAUCCCGCGUGAAGGACGACUGCCCUAUGGGUUGUAAACUUCUUUUGUAUAGGGAUAAACCUACCCUCGUGAGGGUAGCUGAAGGUACUAUACGAAUAAGCACCGGCUAACUCCGUGCCAGCCG
rnacentral:rRNA from 1 species